rnacentral:RNase_P_RNA from 2 species
CAGUCUGACCGAACGAUGGCCUCUUGACCUCAAGGUUGAGGGGAGGAAAGUCCGGACAGCAGAAGUGUAGAGGAUCCUGUGAAAGCAGGAGACCUGAACCGCAAGGAACAGGGACAGUUAGAGCAACAGAGACGAAUCUUGUCUGAAGGAGAUCUCCAGACAGGGGUGAAACGCCGAUGACGCACCAGAAAUGAUGCCGAGGCUCUGAGCCGUCAAACGCUCAGAGGGCAAUCCUCCUCGCUGCAACCAACGAACUUCACCAUAUUGCACACACUCGCUAACGGUGAUAAUGACGUGGGCACUAGAUAGAUCAUCGUGACUCAAACAGAAUCCGGCUUAUGAGUCAGACUGCAAA